rnacentral:lncRNA from 1 species
ACUCGUUUCCUGAUCAGAGGUUUCCCCCCGCCCCCCCAGACUCUGUGCAGCAGCCCCCCCCCUCCUUUUUUUUUGUCAUGCGUGCUCUUGGUUGCAUCCUGACCUCUACCUCAGGCUGACCCUUUGGAGGGGCAUGGGGGGGGGGGAAGAGAAGAGAGGAAGGGCGGGAGAUGGGAGACUUCUGCAGACACAGCCAUUAUGCAUCAAGGUGUGCGGCAAGCUGAGCAUGGAAGGUUGCCUCUCCUUAACUCCUGCUUCAACCUUCUAUUCUGCCUGUGCUCUUCAGUGCUCUCUCUCUCUAGCGCUGUGUCUUAGCCUUAGCUAGAUUGGCUCUAAGGAGAAGGCUGACGGCUGCAGCAUGAAGCGCAUUAUUACCUUGUGAUUCCAUGACCCUCCUCUAUGCAUCCCUAACUCUCGAAAGCUGAUUCAGCUUUCAGCUAGUGCUCUGGUGACUCCACUGCUGCAACAGAAUCUUCUAACUGGUAUGUCUUUUUCCCCCCCCCCUCUCCUAUCUGUCUUUCUUUUAACUGCACCAGCUCAGCUUGUUUUUAAACACUUUCCUGGCUAAUGCAGGACUCGGUGCCCAUCAAACUGGCCCAGGGACUUCAAUGUGUGCCUCUGCUCUGUUGACUGUGUGUUUGUGUACAGAAUGUGUGUUUUAAUAUGUGGGUGGGUUAGGAGACCUUUUUUUCUUGUUCUGCUGUGGCAUACUCCGCAUUUAAAAAAAACAAACUGCAGCGCAAGCUAAAGCCCUGGACUAGAAUAAUCUGAACUGAAAUGUCAGAACUUGGACAUGCAAUCAUUUUGCAAGGUUAAACCAGCCUUUAAAUGCCUAAUACUGAUAUGGGCUGGCUAAUGACACCUGGGGGAAUUUUUUUUUUUUUAAUACCCAGUAGCUGCGAGCUGAAAUAAUACCAACAAGAGCAACGCUGAAAUGUGUUUAAACUUACCCUAAGUUGCCAUGAUCUCAACACUGCGGUGAUUAACCAUUGAAAUGCUGAGUAGCGAGUAUUAAUUACAGACAUGUGGGUUAUGGACAAUCAGAAAAGGAAAGUCAGAGGAAGAGAAGUUAUAUUUUCACUGCAAGGAAUUUAAAAUGCAGGUUACACUUCAUGUGCCAAUUGACUAUUCUUGCUUCUGAAGCAAAGAGCUGACUGUGGUCAUUACAUUUUUUAUUAUAGUGGUGUAUAUAUGCACACACCCAUGCACACACAUAUAAUGAUAAAUAUCUAUAUAUAUAUGCACAGUAGAGAUAUAUUGCAUAGUGUGUGUGUAUAUAUAUACUAAUAUACACAUUAUAUAAAUAUAUGUAAUAUGUAAUAUAUAUUAUGUGAAUACAAUAUAUAUUAUAUCUGUGUAUAUAUAAUAUGCCUAUGUGUGUGUGUGUGUGUAUGUAUUAGAGAUUGAAGAAUGUACAAUCAUGUGUAAUUGUAUAGUCAGAAAUCCUUGAUUUGUGCUGUCAUUUUAAUUGCUGGGUUUCUCCUGAACUGAUGAUAUCGUCUAUGCCUCAGACAUUUUUUGGAAAGUGACUCAAUUUAAUCUAAACUGUUCAGAACGGAUUGCGGGCGGGCUUGGCUGGAACUAACACAAACUUCCACCUCAUUUCAACUUCCUUUCUCACUUCUCCCCACUGCCCCCAUGAAUAAAGACCUUCUCCUGCAUCUCCCA